UUCGCAAUGCCCGAAAGGGUGAUGAUGCGACGCCACGUGGAGGAUGAAGGCCUUCGGGUUGUAAACUCCUGUCAUGAGGGAUGAAAUGUGGGGAUGCUAACAGUAUCCUCACUUGACGGUACCUCAAGAGGAAGCCACGGCUAACUCCGUGCCAGCAGCCGCGGUAAUACGGAGAUGGCAAGCGUUGCUCGGAUUUACUGGGCAUAAAGCGCACGUAGGCGGGCCCACAAGUCGGUUGUGAAAUCCUGGGGCUUAACCCCAGAACUGCGGCCGAUACUAUGGGCCUUGAGGGUGAGAGGGGAGAGUGGAACUUCUGGUGGAGCGGUGAAAUGCGUAGAUAUCAGAAGGAACACCGGUGGCGAAAGCGACUCUCUGGUUCACUACUGACGCUGAGGUGCGAAAGCCCCGGGGAGCAAACGGGAUUAGAUACCCCGGUAGUCCUAGCCGUAAACGAUGGGCACUAAGUAGAGGGGUU
rnacentral:rRNA from 1 species